rnacentral:rRNA from 1 species
AGUGAACGCUGGCGGCGUGCUUAACACAUGCAAGUCGAACGCGAAAGGGGGAGCAAUCCCCCAGUAGAGUGGCGAACGGGUGAGUAAUGUGUGGGUAAUUUGCCUUUCAGCGGGGGAUAACCCGGGGAAACCUGAGCUAAUACCCCAUAACAUGGCUUGAUCUUCGGAUCGAGUCAUCAAACGAUGGCCUCUGCUUGCAAGCUAUUGCUGGAAGAUGAGCCCACAUCCUAUCACGCUUGUUGGUGGGGUAAUGGCCUACCAAGGCGACGACGGGUAGCCGGCCUGAGAGGGUGUCCGGCCACACUGGAA